rnacentral:rRNA from 1 species
CAGCCGCCGCGGGAAUACGUAGGGUGCAAGCGUUAAUCGGAAUUACUGGGCGUAAAGCGUGCGCAGGCGGUUUGUUAAGACAGAUGUGAAAUCCCCGGGCUUAACCUGGGAACUGCAUUUGUGACUGGCAAGCUAGAGUCUGGCAGAGGGGGGUGGAAUUCCGCGUGUAGCAGUGAAAUGCGUAGAUAUGCGGAGGAACACCGAUGGCGAAGGCAGCCCCCUGGGCCAACACUGACGCUCAUGCACGAAAGCGUGGGGAGCAAACAGGAUUAGAUACCCCUGUAGUCCCUGUCUCUUAUAC